UGGGGAAUUUUGCACAAUGGGGGAAACCCUGAUGCAGCGACGCCGCGUGAUUUAGAAGGCCUUCGGGUUGUAAAAAUUUUUUCUAUGGGAAGAAAAUGACAGUACCAUAGGAUUAAGGUCCGGCUAAUUACGUGCCAGGAGCCGCGGUAAUACGUAAGGUCCGAGCGUUGUCCGGAAUCAUUGGGCGUAAAGGGUAAGUAGGCGGGUAAGCAAGUUAGGAGUGAAAUACUAUAGCUCAACUAUAGUAAGCUUUUAAAGCUACUCAUCUUGAGGUAUGGAAGAGAGAGUGGAAUUCCUAGUGUAGCGGUGAAGUGAACCGAUAUUAUGAGGAGUACCGGUGGCGAAGGCGACUUUCUGGCCAUAACCUGACGCUGAGGUACGAAAGCGUGGGUAGCAAACAGG
rnacentral:rRNA from 1 species